UGUUCUCACUUAUGAGACUCUGAAGCCACCAGAUGGGCGAACACCAUGGCCUCUGUGGUGUGUUGCUUCCAUACUGGGGUGCUGCUUAGGGUGCUCUGAUGAGGCAGAGUUCCGUUAACUGCCAGAGCAGCCCCAGGAGGUCUGCACGGUUACAGCAGGUAGCCCAUCUUACAGAUAAGGAAACCAACUAGUAAGUUAAAGUGGCUUGCACGUUCCCAUGGGGCAGGCAGGAGGAGAGCUGGGGUUCAAGGUUGGUGAAGUGACUCUAGUCUGUUGUAAUCUCAGACUGAAGAGAGAUGGAAGCAGCACCAUGAACAAACAACUGCAAAGAGCAAGAAACGAGAGGCAAAUCAACUCCUGCUUUAAAAUCGAUUAUAAGGCUUUACCACCAUCAACGUUUUAUUAUUCGAUAUCACAAAAUCAUUACCUCUAUAGCACGGCAUUUCACGAUGACAUAAAAAUGAACUUUGUUCCUUACGGAAAAUGCUAUAAAUAUGCACAAGGGAAGUUUUUAUUCUUUCAGAAAUAGUAAUCAACCGAUAAAUCAGGACACCACAAGUCAGCCCUAUCUCUUCUAGAAGACUCCAUAAGACUUGUAAUCAGUUCAACAAAAAAUGAGAGAUGUCUCAGAAGCCACCAUGAAAUUCUAAACCUUCAUCAAGACAAAAUAAACCACAAAAUGGUUAAAAGUCUGCUGCAAAUGGGGGGGGGUAAACAUUUGCCACAGAGUUGGCGAACAAGAGUGCUGACUGGAUUAUAUUGAACCCCACAAAUCAAUCACACAGACCACUCAGCACACAAAGGAGCAUCCAAGAAUUUCACCAAAUAUGAAAGCUCAGGUGUCCUGCUGCUCAAUAAGGAGCAAUGAACCUCACUAAGAACCCUGGCGACACAAACGGAAAUCACAGCCACCUAUCUCAGCUCAGCCACUUUUAGUUGGCCAGUGGGAGCCGAUGUUGAUGGAAGGCAGGAUGAAGGCUCCGUAAACUCAGUGGUGGGCGUCUGAAUGGCACGCUGGAGCAUGCGGGAUACUGGGAGUACCAGCUUCACAGACGAUGAUCACAUCCUGCACCCUCAAGUUAUCUUUUCUGAGGAGCAUCCAAAUAGAUGCACUGGAGUAUACAGUCCCUCGUCACAAUUAGAAGUAUGAGAAACUGGGCACACCCUAAAAAUAUUCAUCAGCCAAGGAGUGGUUAAUUAAACAUGGUAUAUUAUGUAAAACUGAUGUUUCAUGACUUAUGUAUCAACAUGUAUGGAGCUCAGAAGUAACGAGUGGUA
rnacentral:lncRNA from 1 species